GCGUGCAGGAUGACGGUCCUAUGGAUUGUAAACUGCUUUUAUACGAGAAGAAACACUCCUUCCUGAAGGAGCUUGACGGUAUCGUAACAAUAAGGAUCGGCUAACUCCGUGCCAGCAGCCGCGGUAAUACGGAGGAUCCGAGCGUUAUCCGGAAUCAUUGGGUUUAAAGGGUCCGUAGGCGGUUUAAUAAGUCAGUGGUGAAAGCCCAUCGCUCAACGGUGGAACGGCCAUUGAUACUGUUAAACUUGAAUUAUUANGAAGUAACUAGAAUAUGUAGUGUAUCGGUGAAAUGCUUAUAGAUUACAUGGAAUACCAAUUGCGAAGGCAGGUUACUACUAAUUGAUUGACGCUGAUGGACGAAAGCGUGGGUAGCGAACAGGAUUACAUACCCUGGUAGUCCACGCCGUAAACGAUGGAUACUAGCUGUUGGAAGCAAUUUCAGUGGCUAANCGAAAGUGAUAAGUA
rnacentral:rRNA from 1 species